rnacentral:lncRNA from 1 species
CCAGGGCUGCCAUCAGAAAUGUUGGGGCCCCUGACAAAGUUCAAGGUCUGGGCCCCCAGUGCCCACUCACGAGUCCGCCCACAGGGCCAUCCUUGAAUCUGCCAACAAAGAUGCAUUAUGUGUGUAGAGUGAAUGCAGAGUCUGUGUGUGUAGUCAAUGCAGUGUGUGUUUAGUGGAUGCAGUGUGUGUAAAGUGGCCAAAUGUAGAUCCGAAUCUGUUGUAAGUCCCAGAAUGCUUUGCUAGCUAUGGAUCUAUAAUUUGCAGGGCUGUAUUUAGCACACAGCAGUGUAUGUUUGUUUGAAUAUAAACAUGGUUUUGAAUGGAGUAUGUGUGUAUUUGAAUGUUGGUGUUUGAAUGCAAGCGUGCAUUUGUCUGUAGUAUAUAAACACACACACACACACCCUGACAUACAUGCAAAUACACAGACACAGUUACACAUAUUGGCACAUAGUUACACACACAUACACUCAGGUUCACACUGACACAGAUACAUAGACAUACACACAUAUACACAGACACACUCAGGUGCAAACUGACACACAGAUACAGACACAUACACACACUGAUACACACAUGCACACACAUAGGAGAUACAGGCACAUGCAUUGACAUACAUGAAAAUAUACAGACACAAUUACACACACAUACAUUCACGUGCACACUAACACCCAGAUACAGACACACAGAUACACACACAGACACAGAUACACACUCAGGUGCAAUCUGGCACCCAAAUAUACACAGACACACACAUAGAUACACACACAUGCACUCUGAUACAUACACACACAUAGGACACAUACAGACACACACUGACAUACAUGUAAAUACACCGACACACAGAUAUACACACUGAAAGAUACAGACACACACACACUCAGGUGCACAUUGACAGAUACAUACAGACACACAAACAGAUACACAUAAAAACAAAAUAUAAAUAAAAUAUAUGUGUAAAAAUGUAGAGAAACAAUAAUAAAGUAAUCAAUUCUAUGGGCAGAUUCACACCAAAUAAACACAGCUUUUUGGUUGAGAAUCUCAGAAAAAAAAGAAAGCGUGAGCGCUCUAGAUAGAUAUAUAUAAUAAAAAAAAAAUUUUUAAAAUGUAUUGCACUAAUUAAACAACACACUUUAAUAAAAAAAAAAUGCAAACGACAGAAAAUGGGCCAUACACAUAAAAUAUAAGACAGGCUAUGCAAGAUAAAAACGUACACAACAUGGGCAGUCUGUAUGUAAAGAGCAAAAAGCCAGGACAGGCAGCGUCAAAUAGAAAAGAUAUACAUUACAACAAAGUUAUCAAAACAAACUAACAAUCUGAUUAAACAUUUAAAUAGAACCCCAACUAAAACUAAAAUAAUUGGGGCAUAUCAACUAAGUAGUGAAAAUUAUUGUGGACAAAAAGUGUACAUAAAAAUCAAAUACAGUCACUAGAAAACCAUGAUCAUAAAAGCUGCAGCACUGCUAUAAAAAAAAAAAAUAAUCAAAGAAUAAAACAAUAACAAAAACAUACACUCAGGUGCACACUGCCAACCAGAUACAAACAAACACAUAGAUACACACAAUGAUACAUCCACAGACACAGACACACAC